GACGAGCGCUGGCGGCGUGCCUAACACAUGCAAGUGGAGCGACGAACCAGGGCUUGCCCUGGGGCCAAGCCGCGAACGGGUGAGUAACACGUGGGUAACCUGCCCCGAUGACCGGGACAACCCGAGGAAACUCGGGCUAAUACCGGAUGUGGUGGACACACUUAAGUGUGUCCACUAAAGGAAGCUUCGGCCUCCGCAUUGGGAUGGGCCCGCGGCCCAUUAGCUAGUUGGUGGGGUAAAGGCCUACCAAGGCAACGAUGGGUAGCUGGUCUGAGAGGACGAUCAGCCACACUGGGACUGAGACACGGCCCAGACUCCUACGGGAGGCAGCAGUGGGGAAUCUUGCGCAAUGCGCGAAAGCGUGACGCAGCAACGCCGCGUGAGGGAAGACGGCCUCGG
rnacentral:rRNA from 1 species